AGCAGGCGUGGGCCGCCCUGGUGCUGACGGUCUGGUUUGCCUCCCAGCUCUGCUAGCCGGGCUUUAGUAGUGCGCUUUCUCGCGGCUGUCAUAAGUACCACGCUGUUGACUGGGACACCGAUCUCCAAUUCUGUCCUUGAGGCAAUAAAGAUGUGGCGAAGGCCCGAGGUGAGGCCACUGCCACUGCACUUAGUCCUGCGACUCCCCUAAGGACGGGCCGAGGAAUGGCGGGCUAGCCACUUCCCAGUCCUGUCCCUACGGGGCAGAAAAAGGCUCGGCAUCCCGGGAUCCGGAGGGUCACUUCCCUCGCUGCAUCCCCAUUGUGCAACUGCCAGUCUAAAAAUUGAUAUAGGUUAAUCUCCUGGAGAAACUAGAGGCAGCCAGGGAGGAUGCUGUUGAACCAGUUAGGAGGCUGUUGCAAGAGAUCCCAGGAAAAGAUAAUGAUAAUGUGGACUUGGAAGAUGGCAGAGGAGUUGCAGAAAAGUAUCCAGAUUUUAAAGCAUCUCCAUGUUAUUCAGCAUUGGAGCUCAACUACCGACUGUGUCAAUCAAAUAAGAGUAUCAGGUUCCUGUGCUAAAAAUAUUCCAGCUCAAAUCAUCUUGGCAGACAAUACCAGAAAAAACAAACAUUUUUCUGUCUAUUAAAGUGACCAAAUGUUAGGAGACUAAAUAUAAGCAGAAAAGACAAGUAAUAGCUGCAUAACCUUGAGCAAGAUACUGACUGAGCCUCAGCCUUUUCUUCAUUAAAAUGAUAUUUUUAAUGCAGGUCUAUAGUCUUUACUCUGCAAUUCCAAAACAGGACAAAAAACAAAACACUGUGAAACCCAAAGUGUUUUUGUAAGUUUGGCACCAGGAUUAUAUGCCAAAGAAAACCUACUGUGAACAAAUAUGAAGCCUCUAUUGUCUCAGCACUUGUAUCCGUAAGUCACACAUGCCUCUGCUAUUUGCUGAUAUUUUCUGACUUGGGGAUUAAUUCCAUGGAAAAUGUCGAAAAGGGCUAAAGAUAUACCUAUGGGUAACAGUGAGAAGAAGAAAAGGAAGCAUCUGUCUUUAUCAAUAUCUCAGAAAGUGGAGUUAUUGCAGAAACUUGAUGGUGGUAUGUCUGUGAGGUGUCUUACUGAAGAAUAUGGUAUGGGAACCACCACGAUAUAUGACUUAAAGAAACAGACAAGUUGUUGAAAUUUUAUAGUGACAGCAAUAACCAGGAACGAAUGAAAAAUAGAAAAACAUUGCAUAGAGCCAAAAAUGAAGACCUUGACCCUGUGUUGAUUGAAUGGGUUCGACAACAAAGAAGUAAAGAUACACCACUGACUGGUUUGUUGGUCGUGAAACAAGCUAGAAUAUACCAUGAAGAACUGAACUUUGAAGGAGAGUGUGAAUAUUCAGGAGGCUGGCUGCAGAAAUUUAAAAAGUGUCUUGGAAUCAAGUAUCUUCAAAUCUGUGGUGAAAAGGCUUCUCCUGAUGAUGAAGCUACUGAAAAUUACAUUGAUGAAUUUGCUAAGGUAAUAUCUGAUGAAAAUCUUAGCCCUGAACAAAUUUACAGUGCUGAUGAAACAGCUUUGUACUGGUGCUAUGUUCCUAGAAAAACUUUAACAAUGGCUAACAAAAGAGCAACAACAGAUGUCAAAGAUACUAAGCAAAAGUUAACUGUUCUUGAGUGUGCUAAUGCUGCAGGCACACACAAGAUAAAAUUGGCAGUGAUUGGAAAUAGCCUAUAUCCAAGGUGUUUAAAAGGUGUGCAUAAUUUACCUGUACAUUGUUAUGCACACAAGAAAGCAUCAGUAACGGGAAAUCUUUUCCAACUGGUUUGAUAGGCACUUUGUGCCAGCAGCAUGAGCUCAUUGCAAACUGGACUGGAAGACAACUGCAAAAUUUUGUUGUUUCUAGAUAACUGUUCUGCACAACCCCCUCCUGAACAUCUUGCGAAGAGCAAUGCUUUUGGCAUUGACUUUCCCCCCAGUGUGACGUCUGUAAUACAACCUUGUGACCAAGGAAUUCUACACGCCGUGAAGAGCAAGUAUAAACAGUUUUUUGAAAAGCAUCCUUGCUUCAGUUAACAGAGGCCUGAAAAUCCAGGACAUCCUUAAAGAAUUUAAUCUUAAGGAUGCCAUCUUCACAGUUGCUAAUGCUUGGAACGACGUUGAUAAGUCAACAUUAACAAAUGCUUGGCAUAGACUUUGGGCUACAAUUAUGUUUGAAAGUGACCUAGCUGAUGAAGAUUUUGAAAGAGUUCAUGACUCUAAUGAGAAAACAAUGGUAGCAUAAUUCAUUACCUAUGCCAAAAGUUUAUCAGCCAAAAGUGUAAAUAAGUUAGAAGAAGCUAACAUUGAAGAAAGGGUUAACAUUGAUAAUGAUGAACCCAUUGUGCAUCCUAAGAGUGAUGGGGAAAUUGCUGAGAUGGUGUUAAAUGCAGAUCAAUAUGAAGAUGGUAGUAGUAAUGAUGAUGACAUUAUGAAUUUGGGUGAAAAAAAUCUCCAUAGAUCAUAUGGUGAAAAUGUGUGACCGAUUAAUUGCUGGCCUUGAACGAUGUACAUUUAUCAGUGAGCAAGAGCUGAUGACAAUUUACUCAAUUAAAGAGAAACUGCUUAGACAGAAACCUGUGUUAAGGAAGCAGGUGAAACUGGGAAAAGUCUUUAAUAAAGCUCUCUGUGGUAAUGCCGCUUCAUCUCUUGACAAUCCUGUUUCUGGCUCAUCAGAUGUCCAGCUCCAACCUGGUUUCAUAGGCAGUGGUAAUACUGGAACAACCUCUUCUCCAAGAUUCUCAGGCAAUCAAAGGUAACAAACGUUCAUUGCAUGUAUAUGUGUUAUGGGUUAGUUUUCAUCAGUAUAAGUUUUAAAUUUUACUUAAAAUUUCCUUAGAAAUAAGAAGCUUUUUCACAAGUGACAAAACACAUUAAAAGCUUAUGGUAUGUGUGGUCUAUAUUUAUCUUCAUAUUUCAUUUACCAAUAAACGUAUUUAUUUAAAAAUGUUAUUUACCAAUGAAUUUACUAAUAUAUUUUUGUAAAUAAAUUGUAAUAUUAUUUAUGGUUUUGUUUCACUUAGUGUGAAUUUUCACACAUUUAUUCGCAGAAAUAGUAAGAUUAAUGUGUUUCAUUACAUAGUACUGUCCUGUACCCAUUUGGAAUGUUACAAAAUGUAUGCAAUUUAUGUAGUAUAUUCCAAAGGAUUCCAAUUUCAUCCUGAAUUCCAAAAAAUUCUCAUUUCCAAAACACAUUUGGUCCCCAGAGUUUUUAAGAGAUUAUAGACCUGUGAUUCUUUUUUGUUGUGAAUGAUCCAGUGAAAUGAUCAAUGUAAAAUGUCUCACACAAAGUAAAUGCCCAUUAAGUGUAGUUGCUAUUAUUAAUAUUGCGUUACUCUACUUUAAAAAUGUAAGACAAGCUUUUUCUGACAUUGAAGUUAGCAAUAGCAUAGGUAAUGAUAUGCAUUCUUCAAGUUUUAUUACUCUAGGAGAUGCUUUGGCAAUGUGCUGCUGAUAAAGUGUAUUAGAGUAUCUCCUAAAUCUUCAUCCAAGAAUGGAAACAUUUUGCAAAUCAGAGGAUAGAAAAUGUUAUGCUACAUCAAAUUAAAUUGCAUGUUCAUAAAAUAUGAACACAUCUAGUUAGCCCUUAUUAAUCAAAGAAAUAUAAUAUUUUUAUCUGCUGCUAACUAUCCCCUCAGCUCCGUGUGCCAUAAGCACCACACAAACAAUAAUUUAAUCUCCCUUGUGAGCAAAGAUUGAUUUUUAACCCUCUUCAUAUAAUUUCAGCUACUAUUAUAAGACCUUGAACAUAGCUGAAUACAUAAAAUUGGUAUUCUGUUUUGUAAAGAAAGCUGUUAUUAGCCUGAUGAAUGUGAAUUGAUUCCUGUGGCCUUGUCUUCUUUGUUUUGUUUUUUUGUAAUGUUUGUUCAUUUAAAAUAUAAGAUGUGUUGCUUUUCUCUCAUUAUAAAAGGCAUACAUCGUUCUUGUAGAAAACAUGGAAAAUACAAUUUAUAAAGAAGAAAAUAAACUCAUCUCUAAUGUGACAACCAGUGAUACAAUCACUCUUAACAUUUACUUUCAAAGCUAUCUAUUGCAUUAAAGUUUAAGCCUUACGGGGGCAGAAACCAUGUCCAUUCAUUCCUGUUCUCCACCCUGUCCUUGCUAUCUUACCAUAGUAGGCAUAUAACACAUUUAAAGGAAACACACACUCACACACUUAGGGACCAAACUAUAUUCACAGGAUUUUUGGCCACAUUACUUUUAGUGAACACUAUAUUGUGAGAAUUUUUCCGUAUGAAUUCUAUUUGAUUUGACAAAGCCAGAUUUUCUACACUGCAUUCAGCUUAUCCUCUUUUCUUCUGGGACUUUCUACUCACAGGCCCAAGGGUAAGCAUUAUUCUGCAGUCCCUCUGCCAGAGUACCUACCUUCUUUAUUGUUCUCACCAUUUUUCCAUCAUAGUUGCCCCUCUUAUUUCCCAUUAGCUCAUGCUGCAGCUUUCUGCUAGCUACUCUUACCAGGUAUAAGAAACCUUCACCAUCAUGUAAACUCAUAUACAACCUGACUGGUGAUUGGCUCCCAUUCUCUACUCAACAUAUUUCUUCAAUUGGGGUGAGCUAAAUUUGCACAGGAGAGGCUUGACAUGGAAGGUAGAGAGAAUCCCAGACAGGAUGGAACAGCAACUUCAUCUUGUUAAGUAGGAAUGUGGAGGGUAGGUCCUGCAUCCACAAUAUUAUCCAUUCCAUUAUCUUAGGAUCAGUCAUAGAAACAAGUCCCAUUCAAUUGGAAGAUGCCUGGAAUCACUAUGCUGACCUGGAAAUCUCAGCUACACAAAUGAUUAACAGUCUGUCCUACCGAUACCUAAACUAAAAUGAAGAACCGGCCACCAGAUGAUACGAAACCUUAUAUCAUGAGCCAAAAUCUAGGAACUGGCCUCAUGUCGUUGAAUUUUUGAACAUCAUUGACCAUGUUAUGUCAGGCUUUUUCUGUAACUUGUGCAAAAUCUAACAAUGGAUAAUGUUCUCCCUCCUCUCCCAACUAAUAUGGUUUACAUUAGCUGUUCAUUUGUUUAACCUAGGGAUAGGAGUCAUCUACAGUGUGAAUUCCCGUUGCUUAGUAGUGGCUGCCUGAAAUGCAUGUCUGAAAAUUUGAAGCCAUGUUUUUGCUUAGUCAGUGUGUAGUGGUCAUGUGUUGAUCUCUGCCAUUGGUACAGAAAGUAGAAAUGUCAUAGCAUAUGCCAUCUGUCACUUAUGGGGACCUUAAAUUUUCCUAUUUACAUUUGGUUCAGACCUUUUGCUUUGCUCAGCUAGUGUAAUUUAUAAGUCAUCUCACAAUCUCAUAUUCUUAUUCUGCAUUAUAUUGCUCUAGCCAUGGACAGGGACCCCUUUUCCUUGACAUACACACAAGCCAUUUGUGUGUAUGUUGGUCACAAUUAAAAGGCUAUAGUGAUGGAAAGAGUACUUUCACAUAAACCAGACAUUUAACUUUGGACACUCCUGUCUUUAAAAGUCUUUCAAAUGAACCCUCUGAUAUUGAAUUGGAAUCUAAUGUAUUAGUAUGAACUCAUAAUUUUUAUUAUUUUAGGGACAGAGUCUCACUGUGUCACCCAGGCUGGAGUGCAAGUGGCAUGAUGAUAGCUCACUGCAGCCUCAAAUUACUGGGCUAAAGUGAGCCUACCACCUCAGCCUCCCAAAUAGCUGGGACUACAGGUGUGUGCCACCAUGCCAGGUGAAUUUUUUGUAUUUUUUUAUAGAGACAGGGUCUCACUAUGUACCCAGGCUGUUCUCAAACUCUUGGCCUUGAGAGAUCCUCCCACUUCAGCCUCCCAAAAUUCUCGGAUUACCGGCAUGAGCCACUGUACCUGGCAACUCAUCAUUUUUAGUACAUAUACAUGGUUAGAUACAGAAAUAUAGAAGUGUAUACACACAAGGGUAUGUACACAGGUCAGUGUAUACUAACGGGUUAGUAUACAUGCAAAUAUGCCCAGUGAUAGGGCCUAAAAGCAAUGAUACUCCAGUAAUAAUGAGCAUGCCUAGUACCCAGAUUUGAUUUUUAAAUACCAUUCUUAAAUAAAAGGAACCAGGGUUCCUUCAAGAACUUGUUGGUCCUAGGCAGGUCAGGGAAAUUACAAAAUGAGCGUGUACUAUCUCAUGGUGCCAGAAAGUAAGGAAAUGCUUUAAAAUAAAGUAAGAUGUGUCAAAGGUACAUAGGCAUCAACCUAAAGAAUCUCCAAAAGACCAAAGCUGGAACAAUUUGAACAACAAGCUAAAUAAUAACCAUAUUAACCAUAGUGGAUUAUAACCCACGUGGUAAAAUAAAUAUUCCUGUGACCAUAUAUUGAAGUAAUUGAUUAAAUAAAGAAGUAGGGGAGAAGAGACAGCUCUUCCUUAGAGUAGAAUUCUGUGGUGGCUAAAGCAGCUCCAUCUUGGGUGAUGCUCUGCCAUGUUGGCUUCUGAUUAACCCCUGUUCUGGGAAGGCCACCAAGAUUUCUAGUUUAUCUGUUGCUUUUUGUGUAAGAGCAGGCACUUACCUUAAAUCCUGACCUUAGGCUAAACAACCUUGAUGUUAUCAUACUUCAAUUACCCUACACAUCCUUUCUGAACUACUCCUCCUUUAUGGUGUAUAAGACCUGGGUCUUGGGGGUAAUGGCGUGGGGACCUACCGUCUCGUCUUGUGCCCAUCUGAGACACAGACAUGGCUUCUGUUCAUUUAAUGUUUCUAAGAAACUGGAUGUUUUAUUAACUGUUUCUUUCUAAGAAGAAACUGGAUUUGUCAGCAUCUUUGGCCUCUCAGCUUCCUCGGACUUGGGGGCAGGUUUGCCCAGACCUGGCCACUGCAGAAAAAAAUCUAACUAAUAAAGGUAGAAGGAUAGAGAGAAAUAGAAAAUGACCACUAGGCAGACACCACAAUGAUAAUUAUAGCAGAAAGGAUAUAUAGAUGGAUGCUAAAAUCUGUGAGUGAAAGUUUGAGUUGAAACAGACUGCAUAGUCUCAAAGCAUUUUCUCCAGACAUUUAUUAACUAUCCAGAGAAAAAUAAGAACAUUACAAUGGAGAAACUCAGCAAAAACCUCCUUAAUCAAGUGGUAGGUCAACAUCACUAGUAAUACUAGAAUCAUGAAUCGCAUUAUAUGAUGCACACAUCCCAUUACAUGAGAACGCAGUAUCAUUUCUGUGGCAUUCUUGUCAAAAAUGCAUAACCUCAGUCCAAUCAGAAGAAAACUUGUCGGGCACAGUUGUGCAUGCCUGUAAUCCAGUACUUUGGGAGGCUGAGGCAGGAGGAUCGCUUGAGGCCAGGAAUUUGAGACCAGCCUGGGUAAUGUGGCAAGACUUCAUCUCUACUAAAAAUAAAAAUAACUAGCAGGGAGUGAUAAUGCAUUCCUGUAGUCCCAGCUACUCAGGAGGCUGAAGUGGGAGGAUCACUUGAGCCCAGGAGUUCGAGGUUACAGUGAACUAUAAUCACAUCACUGCACCCAUCCUGGGUGACAGAGCAAGACCCUGUCUCUAAAAAAUAAAGAAAAGGAAAGAAAAUACAAUUUGAGGGAUGUUCAACAAAAUAACUGAUCAGUACUCUUCAGAUGUAUCAAGGUCGUGAAAGAGCAGGAAGGACUAAGAAGCUGUUACAGUCUACAGAAGACUGAGAAGAAAUAACUAAAUGCAAUGUAGGAUUCUGGAACAGAAAAGGGACACUGGUGGAAAAACCGACAAAAUUCAAAUAAGGGCUUAUAGUAUAAUAAGUAAUAUUAUACCAAUGUGUAUUUCCUGGUUCUAAUAAUAGUACUGUGGUUAUGUAACAUGCUAACAUUUAGGGGAGCUGUGUGCAGGGUGUAUGGAAACCCACUAAACUAUUUUUGCAUCUUUUUCAUAAACUUAAAGAUUGUUCACAGUAAAAAAUUAAAUGAUGUUUUGAAAAUAAAGAGCCCUUCAGCCACCCCAUCUGAAGGGAAUGCCUCCUUCCAAGCCACUGUUUUCUACAGGUUCAGGCUCCAGCCGUGAUAUGCAAGCCCAUCUCACUCCACACCUCUCAUCCUCCAGCCUUCCCUAGGGUCAUCCUUCUCAAUUUAUUAUGCAGAAUGACUUGUCUCCACCACUAACUAACAAAGGCCAACCUUUGUACAUCAAAAACUCAUUAAUAUGUUGAAACACGGGAUGGUGUAGUCCAAGUCUUUCCUUUAGCAGCCCAGAGGAACCAGCAGAGGCUUCAUAAUUUUAGGCUUUCCUUUCUCCAUUUCCCAGGCCCUGAGAAGAGAAGAUCAGAAUAAAGAUUGGUUUCCUCAUUGAUGUGAAUUUUGUCACAACCACCAUCUUUGGAAUUCAGAUGUUACUAUGGUCAGUUUGGGUUUAAAUAACACUUCUGUUUUCUCUAUGUUACACUCCUAAGGUUGUUAGGAUCCUAUGAGCCUAUUUAAUUGUUUUCUUUAAAUGAUGGCAUAUCUA
rnacentral:lncRNA from 1 species